UUGCUUUUUUUAACUUGCAUGCAUUUCAAAAAGUGACUGCAGCAUCAACGCAAAUCUGCAAUUCCUGCUCAUUUACAGUAUAUUAAGAAAGGAUUUAAUACCUCAUACUUCAUCAGAUCAGACACAAAGAAGAAAAAUAACAAUCCUACACACUUACCUUCAGUACUUCCAGUUUCUCAAAAUGGCCACUCCACACCAAUCCUGUUUUCGUCUCUCAUGGACGACAUCACUUUCCAGUCCAACUGUGUUGACAUCAUUUCCGGCUACUAAUGAUGACGUCACUUCCGGCCCCACCAUGAUGAUGCCACUUCCAGCUCUCAUGGAUGAUGUCACUUCCGGUCCCGUCAUGAUGACGCCACCUCCUGCUACCUCUUGAUGACAUCACUUCUGGUUUUGCCAUGAUGACAUCACUUUGGCCUUUCUGUAUUGAUGUCACUUCCUGCCAAAUCACAUCUUGUUGCCAUCUUUAUGUAUAUAAAUCCUCAUUUCAGCACUGUAUUCUGUGAAAUGCUUUGGUUUUUGAUCGCAUUUCAUUCAAUUUUCAUCACGUCCAACGGACAUUGUAUGGGGUAAUUUCCCCAAUUCUUUAUGUUUCCUGAGUCUGAUUUAUUUAUUACAAUGGGCAACUCAUUCUACCAGCUAGAAGCUACAAACAAGGGGAGUAUGGAUUGAGAUUUGAUGCCCACCAGAAGUGGCAUCUCCUGGCGCCAUUCAUUAGCAAGCCUGAGUGGCCAUAAAGGUGCAUAGGGCCUUGCAAGUGUCUCCAUACAUAUAAGUGUUGACCCUUUGACUACUCUGUAGGCAAAAAUCAAGGAUAUGAACCUAAUUCAAGCUUCUACAAGAAGCCAAUGUAAUGAUUUGAAAAGAGGAAUGACAUGUGCUCAUCUCAGCUGGUUGAACACCAAAUGGCUUCUGCACUGCAGUGAUUUGGUGACACAUGCUGGUACUCUUGCCAGCAGUGAGAUGCGGUAGUCCAGAAUCAUGUGAUAAGACCAAAGCCUGGACCAAGAGUUAUAUACUUAUCCAAUGGAAACUAUGCAUCCAUCUACAGUAUGUUCCGGAAGGCUCUGUGCCUAAGUAGAACAUUCACAUGUCAUCUGUUCGACUUUGUAGAGCAAGAACUGGUUCAGUAUAGAUAAUCUGGCAUUGAAACUGUCAUGCAGAACAGAUGAGACAUAGGAAGAAAUGAUUCUAAAACCAGAAAAAAUGAAUGAUUCACUGAUCUAGAUUGAGAGCAUUGGAGGAAGUCAUUCCUACUAGAUAAAUUCACCUGAAGCUAGCGAUGCAAGAAGGUUUCUGCCACUGCAGAAUGUUAGCCAACAGCUGAGCAGUAUUGUGUGGCACAUCCCACCAUACAUUUUGUAGCCACUCCACCACAAAGUCAAUGGUCUUUGGCAACUGAGAUGACAAUAUCCAACUCAUGCUCUGUUGAAGUUUGAGAAAAGAAAGCCUUGGGCCACUACUCAGAGUGCAAGAGUCGGGAGGAGGAGGACGAAGCUUCCUGGGAGGAGUAGUGGAGGAAGAAGAGUGUGGUUUGGGGUCAUUUACUUCACGUGCUGUUAUGGGACUGUGUUAGGCUGAGGGACACGGAAAGAAAAAUAAACCUUUUCAUGUAUUUCUA